rnacentral:rRNA from 1 species
GACGAACGCUGGCGGCGUGCUUAACACAUGCAAGUCGAACGGAAAGGCCCUGCUUUUGUGGGGUGCUCGAGUGGCGAACGGGUGAGUAACACGUGAGUAACCUGCCCUUGACUUUGGGAUAACUUCAGGAAACUGGGGCUAAUACCGGAUAGGAGCUCCUGCUGCAUGGUGGGGGCUGGAAAGUUUCGGCGGUUGGGGAUGGACUCGCGGCUUAUCAGCUUGUUGGUGGGGUAAUGGCUUACCAAGGCUUUGACGGGUAGCCGGCCUGAGAGGGUGACCGGCCACAUUGGGACUGAGAUACGGCCCAGACUCCUACGGGAGGCAGCAGUGGGGAAUAUUGCACAAUGGGCGGAAGCCUGAUGCAGCAACGCCGCGUGCGGGAUGACGGCCUUCGGGUUGUAAACCGCUUUCGCCUGUGACGAAGCGUGAGUGACGGUAAUGGGUAAAGAAGCACCGGCUAACUACGUG